UCAGGAUGAACGCUGGCGGCGUGCCUAACACAUGCAAGUCGAACGAAGCUUGACGGAUGAUUUCUUCGGAAUGAAACCAGAUAUGACUUAGUGGCGGACGGGUGAGUAACACGUGAGCAACCUGCCUUUCAGAGGGGGAUAACGGCUGGAAACGGUCGCUAAUACCGCAUGAUGUGUUCGGAUGGCAUCAUCUGAACAUCAAAGAUUUAUCGCUGAAAGAUGGGCUCGCGUCUGGUUAGAUAGUUGGUGGGGUAACGGCCUACCAAGUCUACGAUCAGUAGCCGGACUGAGAGGUUGAACGGCCACAUUGGGACUGAGAUACGGCCCAGACUCCUACGGGAGGCAGCAGUGGGGAAUAUUGCACAAUGGGGGAAACCCUGAUGCAGCAACGCCGCGUGAAGGAUGACGGUUUUCGGAUUGUAAACUUCUUUUCUUAGUGACGAAGACAGUGACGGUAGCUAAGGAAUAAGCAUCGGCUAACUACGUGCCAGCAGCCGCGGUAAUACGUAGGAUGCAAGCGUUAUCCGGAUUUACUGGGUGUAAAGGGAGCGCAGGCGGGACUGCAAGUUGGAUGUGAAAUACCGUGGCUUAACCACGGAACUGCAUCCAAAACUGUAGUUCUUGAGUGAAGUAGAGGCAAGCGGAAUUCCGAGUGUAGCGGUGAAAUGCGUAGAUAUUCGGAGGAACACCAGUGGCGAAGGCGGCUUGCUGGGCUUUAACUGACGCUGAGGCUCGAAAGUGUGGGGAGCAAACAGGAUUAGAUACCCUGGUAGUCCACACUGUAAACGAUGAUAGCUAGGUGUGGGGGGUCUGACCCCUUCCGUGCCGGAGUUAACGCAAUAAGCUAUCCACCUGGGGAGUACGACCGCAAGGUUGCAACUCA
rnacentral:rRNA from 1 species